GACGAACGCUGGCGGCGUGCUUAACACAUGCAAGUCGAACGGAAAGGCCCUGCUUUUGUGGGGUGCUCGAGUGGCGAACGGGUGAGUAACACGUGAGUAACCUGCCCUUGACUUUGGGAUAACUUCAGGAAACUGGGGCUAAUACCGGAUAGGAGCUCCUGCUGCAUGGUGGGGGUUGGAAAGUUUCGGCGGUUGGGGAUGGACUCGCGGCUUAUCAGCUUGUUGGUGGGGUAGUGGCUUACCAAGGCUUUGACGGGUAGCCGGCCUGAGAGGGUGACCGGCCACAAUGGGACUGGGGAACGGCCCAGGCUCCUACGGGAGGGAGCAGGGGGGAAUAUUGCACAAUGGGCGGAAGCCUGAUGCAGGAACGCCGCGUGCGGGAUGACGGCCUUCGGGUUGUAAACCGCUUUCGCCUGUGACGGAGCGUGAGUGAAGGUAAUGGGUAAAGAAGCAACGGCUAACUACGUG
rnacentral:rRNA from 1 species